rnacentral:misc_RNA from 1 species
GAUGAAGAACGUAGCGAAAUGCGAUAAGUAGUGUGAAUUGCAGAAUUCAGUGAAUCAUCGAAUCUUUGAACGCACAUUGCGCCCUUUGGUAUUCCAAAGGGCAUGCCUGUUCGAGCGUCAUUUGUACCCUCAAGCUUUGCUUGGUGUUGGGCGUCUUGUCUCUAGCUUUGCUGGAGACUCGCCUUAAAGUAAUUGGCAGCCGGCCUACUGGUUUCGGAGCGCAGCACAAGUCGCACUCUCUAUCAGCAAAGGUCUAGCAUCCAUUAAGCCUUUUUUUCAACUUUUGACCUCGGAUCAGGUAGGAAGACCCGCUGAACUUAAGCAUAUCAAUAAGCGGAGGA